GCUGGGCAUGGUGGUGCAUGCCUGUAAUCCCAUUAACUAUGUAGGCUGAGGCAGGAGGAUCGCAAGUUCAGAGACAACUUCAGCAACUUAGUGAGGCCCUAAGCAACUUAGUGAGACCCUGUCUCAA
rnacentral:sRNA from 1 species